AUGCCACUCCCGUCCACCCAACUCCACCGCCGCCUCCUCCUGCUCCUUCUCGCCGCCGUCGCCUGCACGGGGCUGCCCGGCGCCGCGUCCAGGCCCACGCUGCUCGAGCCCUGUGCCUCCGCCACGGCCUGCCCCGCGCUGCUCUCCUACACCCUGCACGCCGACCUCAAGCUCGCCGAGCUGGCCGCGCUCUUCGCCGCCGACCCGCUCGCCAUCCUCGCCGCCAACGCCAUCGACUUCGCCGUCCCGGGUCCGGCCGGCCGCAUCCUGCCGGCCGGCCUCGCGCUGCGCGUGCCGGUCCCCUGCGCCUGCUCCGGCGGCGUCCGCAGGGCCACCUCCGUCCGCUACGUCUCCCGGCCGGGGGACACGCUCGCCUCCAUCUCCUCGCGCGUCUACGGCGGCCUCACCGCCCCGGACUGGAUCAGGGACUCCAACGGCAUCCCCGACGCCGACGGCGCCGUCGACGCCGGGACCGCGCUGCUCGUGCCGCUGCACUGCGCGUGCUUCGGCGGGGUGGACAACGGGGUGCCCGCCGUGUACCUCACGUACGUGGUGGCCAAAGGGGACACCGUGCCCGCCAUCGCGAAGAGGUACCAGACCACGGCCACCGACGUGAUGAGCGUCAACGACAUGGCCACCGCCGACGUCGCCGCCGGGGACAUCAUCGUCCUCCCGCUGCCAGCGUGCACCUCGUCGUUCCCCACCUUCACGUCCGACCACGGGCUGGCCGUGGCGAACGGGACCUACGCAGUGACUGCCGACCGGUGCGUCCAGUGCAGCUGUGGUCCGGCCAACUUGGAGCUGUUCUGCGUGCCGGCGCCGCUGGCGGAUGCGGCGUGCUCCAGCAUGCAGUGCGGCAACAGCAGCAUGAUGCUCGGCAACUUCACCCUCGUCAUGACCGGCGCCGGCUGCAGCGUCACCUCCUGCGGCUACGGCGGCUACGCCAACGGCACCAUCCUCACCACGUUAACCAGGGCACUCAAGCCCCUGUGCCCAGUCCCGCACCAGUUCCCGCCGCUGAUCCCGCCGCCGACGUCGUCCUUCUUCGAGACGUACCUCGGCCCUUCACCGGCGCCGAAGCCGUCGGAGGGGGGAAUCAAGAGUCCGACGAUGGCUAGGACGGCACCAACGGCCAGCACGGACGCCGUCGCCGGUGCUCCUCCCACGGGCCGGCACUUCAGCGACGUCUUCGGAGUGCUCGCGCUUUGCCUUGUCACCAACAUGCUGUGGUGA
rnacentral:rRNA from 1 species